CUGUAACUCCACGACUCUCUCCUUCUCUCUCUCCUCUUUCUCUCUCAUGGCUGCUUUGGGAUCUCUCCACCUGCAGCAACCUGAUAACCCAUUAGGACUUUCUCCUCUCGUGAGCUGAGAGAGUAAAAAGACAAAUCCGGAUCUCAUUCCACGCUCUUCCAUCUCCAAUUUAAGUUUUCGUUGUUGCGAUUUUUUUUUAUUCCCAUUUCUGUUAAAGCAGAUGCUUCCUCCUCUCCUUGAAGUUCUCAGCUCACUAUCCUUCUCCUCCCCUUGAUUCCACAA